UUUUUUCUUCUUUCAGGACGAACGCUGGCGGCGUGCCUAAUACAUGCAAGUCGAGCGGACAGAAGGGAGCUUGCUCCCGGAUGUUAGCGGCGGACGGGUGAGUAACACGUGGGUAACCUGCCUGUAAGACUGGGAUAACUCCGGGAAACCGGAGCUAAUACCGGAUAGUUCCUUGAACCGCAUGGUUCAAGGAUGAAAGACGGUUUCGGCUGUCACUUACAGAUGGACCCGCGGCGCAUUAGCUAGUUGGUGGGGUAAUGGCUCACCAAGGCGACGAUGCGUAGCCGACCUGAGAGGGUGAUCGGCCACACUGGGACUGAGACACGGCCCAGACUCCUACGGGAGGCAGCAGUAGGGAAUCUUCCGCAAUGGACGAAAGUCUGACGGAGCAACGCCGCGUGAGUGAUGAAGGUUUUCGGAUCGUAAAGCUCUGUUGUUAGGGAAGAACAAGUGCGAGAGUAACUGCUCGCACCUUGACGGUACCUAACCAGAAAGCCACGGCUAACUACGUGCCAGCAGCCGCGGUAAUACGUAGGUGGCAAGCGUUGUCCGGAAUUAUUGGGCGUAAAGGGCUCGCAGGCGGUUUCUUAAGUCUGAUGUGAAAGCCCCCGGCUCAACCGGGGAGGGUCAUUGGAAACUGGGAAACUUGAGUGCAGAAGAGGAGAGUGGAAUUCCACGUGUAGCGGUGAAAUGCGUAGAGAUGUGGAGGAACACCAGUGGCGAAGGCGACUCUCUGGUCUGUAACUGACGCUGAGGAGCGAAAGCGUGGGGAGCGAACAGGAUUAGAUACCCUGGUAGUCCACGCCGUAAACGAUGAGUGCUAAGUGUUAGGGGGUUUCCGCCCCUUAGUGCUGCAGCUAACGCAUUAAGCACUCCGCCUGGGGAGUACGGUCGCAAGACUGAAACUCAAAGGAAUUGACGGGGGCCCGCACAAGCGGUGGAGCAUGUGGUUUAAUUCGAAGCAACGCGAAGAACCUUACCAGGUCUUGACAUCCUCUGACAACCCUAGAGAUAGGGCUUUCCCUUCGGGGACAGAGUGACAGGUGGUGCAUGGUUGUCGUCAGCUCGUGUCGUGAGAUGUUGGGUUAAGUCCCGCAACGAGCGCAACCCUUGAUCUUAGUUGCCAGCAUUCAGUUGGGCACUCUAAGGUGACUGCCGGUGACAAACCGGAGGAAGGUGGGGAUGACGUCAAAUCAUCAUGCCCCUUAUGACCUGGGCUACACACGUGCUACAAUGGACAGAACAAAGGGCUGCAAGACCGCAAGGUUUAGCCAAUCCCAUAAAUCUGUUCUCAGUUCGGAUCGCAGUCUGCAACUCGACUGCGUGAAGCUGGAAUCGCUAGUAAUCGCGGAUCAGCAUGCCGCGGUGAAUACGUUCCCGGGCCUUGUACACACCGCCCGUCACACCACGAGAGUUUGCAACACCCGAAGUCGGUGAGGUAACCUUUAUGGAGCCAGCCGCCGAAGGUGGGGCAGAUGAUUGGGGUGAAGUCUAA
rnacentral:rRNA from 1 species